GGAUAUAUGGCCGAGUUGGUUAUGGCGUUAGACUCAAGUUCUAAUGACGAAAGUCGCUUGGGUUCGAAUCCCAAUGUAUUCA
rnacentral:tRNA from 1 species